rnacentral:rRNA from 1 species
UCAUGGUUCAGGACGAACGCUGGCGGCGUGCCUAAUACAUGCAAGUCGAACGCAUCCCGCUGAAUUGAAGUGCUUGCACUGAUUUUCAGCAUUGGAUGAGUGGCGAACUGGUGAGUAACACGUGGGUAACCUGCCCGGAAGCAGGGGAUAACACUUGGAAACAGGUGCUAAUACCGUAUAACAACUGAAACCGCAUGGUUUCAGCUUGAAAGAUGGUUUCGGCUAUCACUUCUGGAUGGACCCGCGGCGUAUUAGCUAGUUGGUGGAGUAAUGGUUCACCAAGGCAAUGAUACGUAGCCGACCUGAGAGGGUAAUCGGCCACAUUGGGACUGAGACACGGCCCAAACUCCUACGGGAGGCAGCAGUAGGGAAUCUUCCACAAUGGACGAAAGUCUGAUGGAGCAACGCCGCGUGAGUGAAGAAGGGUUUCGGCUCGUA